ACAAAGAAGAAAUGAACAAGAAUUUAUUUUUGUGAUCUAUCAGUGGGAUGGGAAGAGAUUAAAAUGUGUGGUAGUCUGGCGAAAUCUUUCUGACUUCAAAGGAAGUGACCUUAGUUACAGCCUUAUCUGGAGGAAACUUUGGAGACUGGGAGUGGGGCACUGUCGCUGGUAUCCAGCUGAGUGACUCUACAUGGCCAGCAAAGGCAUCCUUAAAGUUAACAUGCUGCGCAAAAGAGAAAAUGUGAGAGAUUUCACCGAAGGAUGGAGUGCAGGCUGAGAAAAUGCUUACAAGAGAAAAAA